GUGGGGCUGGUAGGACAAAGCCACUGGAAG
rnacentral:piRNA from 1 species